ACAGGCAGCGCCGACAUUGCCGACUGACACAUCGGUAUGCGCGCAAGGCAGCGUGAGCUUAACACGCCCGAUAAGGGGAAACGAGGGAGUGCAUGGGAAAUGUAAAGCGAAGCGACCGGGAUGAGGCCACUUACGAAAAGUGGAUUUUUGGAACCCGGUCGGUUGUGUGAACCAUCUGACGCGUGUCGCUUAGCUUUAAAGCGCUCUUUGUCCUCUGGUUUCGAGUAGCAGAAGUGGUGAGAAUAGAGGAGAGCAAGAACAAUCGGCGCAGCUCCGAAGAAGAACAGCCCGGAAUUCUUUAUAUACAUUAAGAUUCAUUUAAUAAAUAUGCCCUUUUCCUCCGAAUGUAUGACCUGUCCCUGACCCUCCCAUUCAUAAACAUUUGACAGAAAAGGACAACCCGCAGAAUGUGAUAGGACAAAAUGAAGAAGGCCCACCCAUCCAUGUUCCCGCCUCUCCUUUAAAGAGUCCGCCUGCCAGCAUGUGACUCAAUUACAGCAUGGACGGAAAAAGGGAACAUCAGAAAAGUAAAAAUAGUGAAUUAAGGACAGAAAAUGAUAAUGCCAUAUGGGAGGAGGAAAGUGAAACUGGUGAAAAAGGGAAACCUGUGAGGAUAUAUGCGAUGGACAGUUCUGAGCGGGUGAUGGGGCAAAUUCCUGCACUCUCUCAGGCCUCCUCUAAGAUAUGAAUUCUCUGAAAACCUACAACAAACAAUAACAAACAUGACGCCAUUGCACACUGUCCUUGUUGCUUGUGAAAUGGUGAGCAUCUGCCAGCCCACAGCACCAGCAGCUGUGAUGAGGGAGGAGGAGGGAAAUGGGAGGGAUUCAAUGAGGCAAGCCAUGUGGGUGAAGGGUAAAGCAAGAUUUUAUGAAUGGACUGUUUCGCUUUGCCCUCUGAUUGGCCAGCCAUACGGGUCAAUCUGUCUGUAGUAAAAACUGCUAUUGGUUUAGUCAUGAUUUGUUUCUCAUAUAUUAUACACAUACUCUUCAUAAUUCUUUUUCAAACAAUUGAUAUUAGUCAUUACAAUUAAC